rnacentral:rRNA from 4 species
GGCCUCAAGUGAUGUGUGACUACCCC